UUAUCCCAUGAAAUGGGUGUUCUCAUUUCAUUGCAUUUUCAAAGAAUUUGUACAUUAAAAUUCAAGUGUGCAUAGGAAGCCUCAGAUAACUUCCUUUUGGCAUCACCCCUUCACAUUUCAUUGUGUGAGUACUUUCUCAGUAAUGACAAAACUGUCUCAUGUUAAAUAUGUCUCACAUGUGUCUCUCAUUACAGUACGCCUGGUAUUUUGCCACAGAGGCUACUUUUGACUUCAGUAUUCAUGACAUGUCUUUCCUGAGACGGUGGUGGUGUGUUGUCCUGGUGGAAAACCUUGAGCUGGAAGGGUAUGGGAGGAAGUUCGCCCACUUUACGGAGGAAGGAAAAUCAACCCUCCAAGACAAUGUCCCACCUGUCUUCAGGAUUGCCCGAAAAAGGAGACUUUCAAGCUGCACAGUGAUGCCAUUGGACUCUGACGAGGACCAUGCUUAUAAUAAGAGGCCUUACAGCUUUCCUUCUAAGGAGAUGGGCAGUGGAGUUACCAUGGACAAAGAUGUCUUCAGCUUCGAAGAAGACACAUCUCUAAUUUAACCAACCAUUAUGUCAUUUAUUGCUACAGGCUUUAAUAAUUAAAAUACUUUUGGUAUGGAGCUUUUUAUAUUCUAAGGUUUAUGCCAAUAUUUGGAGGUGAGAACAUGAUGCUACUGCAUGUAAAG